GGCGCCAUGGCCAAGUGGUAAGGCAGCGGUUUGCAAAACCGUUAUUCUCCAGUUCGAAUCUGGAUGGCGCCUCCA
rnacentral:tRNA from 1 species